rnacentral:misc_RNA from 1 species
AGAAUCCAAGACUCACAUCCUGUUUAUAAGAAAAGGAGUCAGUCUCAAGUACAGUAUACUGGACAGUAUUUCCCAGCUUCGAGUUGCUCUCAGUGUAAUUACAAAGUGCAUCGUCUCAGGAGCUCAACAUACAGUAAAUGAAUAUUUCUCCUAUACCCUGAAACACCUAACAGUCUGCAUAUAUCCAGCAACAGGCCAUGGAAGGUGUAGUGCUGGUGGUCUGUAGCCUCAUUGUGGCCAUGGCCUACUGCAACCCUGUUGAGUGUCCAGCCAAGUGUGAAUGUGACAGUCCAAGGAUCACAUGUGAGGGAGGAACAAUAUCCAUACUAGACAAGAGACUCACAGCCUUGGUGAUACAAGAUGCUGAUCCACCCAUCACUACACUCAACCAUGCCAUAACUCAGCAACUGGAACAUCUUGUGAAGCUACAGCUGGACUCGGUAGGCCUGACAGAGAUAGACCCCGGAGCACUGGCAACAAUACAACGCCUGGAGACUUUGGAGAUAACCAACAACCGCAUCGCUACGAUUGGACCCGCCACCUUCCGAAACUGUGGCAAAUUAAUUUACCUCAAUCUUGAAAAUAAUAAUAUUGAAGUAAUUGAGGAAGGGACAUUCACCUCGCUGGAUAACCUCCAUCACCUCAAUCUGUCUCACAAUGCCUUAACCACUCUGCCGAAAUAUUUACCCACCAGACUCCAGGUUCUUGACGUGGAGUAUAACCGGAUAAGUGAAGUCCAAGAUUUAUCCUCCGCUAGUAUGACAUCACUCAACCUGUGUCAUAAUGACAUCUCCCACAUUGACCCAGACCAGAUUGAGCUGAAGAAUCUCAAGUCGCUCUGCAUUGGAGGAAUAAAGUUUAAUCUGAGCGAUGAUCUGGUAAACCACAACAAGCUUCCAGUUCUUGAGAGUCUACAGCUAAAAGGAGAUCCAGAGAAUAAACUGAGAGUUACUAACAAGAUUCAGGAAAAUAUCCUCAACAUGACAACACAAUCACUCAAAAACCUGGAGCUGUCCUAUUGUGGACUAGCAAGUCCAAAGAUUUUCACCCAGGCCAACAGCAAACUCCAAAAUCUCAAAGCAACAGAUGUAAAACUGGUCCCGACAAGACUAAGCUUAUGGCCUAAGUUUGAACUUCCCAAAAUAGAAAUACUUGACUUGUCAGGAUCCCCUUAUCUGACAAAACUCUUCUUAACCUCAAAUGCACCAACAACCUUACCUGACCUUAAGAUUCUUAAAAUGUCCCACUGUUGGAUAAGGGACUUUCCCGAGUCUCAUUUUGAACAAAAAACACCAAACGUCAAACAGCUGGACAUAAGUCAUAACCCACUUGAGUGUACGUGCUAUGGAAUCUCUUGGAUCCCAAAUUACGUGAGAUACGGGAAGCUUAUUCUCCUCAACGAAGAGAACACAAUCUGUGCUAUCCCUAAACACCUCAAGGAUAUCCCACUGUUAACAGCUUCUCUCUGUCCCAUCAUUCCCACACCAGACACCACUAGUACCCCAGCGACCUACACUACGUCCCUGGUUACUUCAGUUGACACAACAGUUAUACCUGAAGAGUCACAUUCAUCAAGCCCUGGGAUGACUACAACCAACAAAGGAAACCUGCUGCUGGUUUCACCUGUGAUCAUAAUGAUUUCUUUCAUCACACUGUGCGUGUGCCUCAUUGUUUGACACUACAAGAAUAGCGCGUUCAACGUUAAAGAAAACAGCAGCAACACAGAAGAGGCCGGAAAAAACAAUGUUGCUACGGCUGAGAGCAAAGAUCAAACAUCAUUAACGCCAACUGACACACAGAAUGGUCAGCAUGACAACCUGUUAAAUGAGGGUUACACUGUAAGCCCCAGUGACCCUGAGGAGAAACUUUAGGCAGAUGCAGGUAAUAGAAAGGAACAAUACCAGUGUUGUAGCUUCUGUAGGCCCACCUGGGUAACUCAAGCCUUCCUCACCAAACUUAAUAUCUCACAGCUUGUGUUGCAGCAACAAGUAUUCUCAUAAUAUCUGCACCAAGGAACAUAAACUUUUGUUCAUCCGACUGCAUAAUUAGGCUCGUUGGGAUGCUAUCAUACAACAAUAACUGCAUUAGUGGCUUAUUGUAAUGUGUGUGUGUGUCACAGGCACUACACUUGGGCUACAGUACAGUACUGUAAGGUGAAUGUUCUGAGACAAUGCUGUACUGUACUGUAUUAAACUACACUACAACAGAGUCCAUAUUCAUCUUACUAAAAAUUAUCCAGAAAUCUUCUAGACUUACAGGCCAAAAACUUACGGAGAUUAUGACUAGUCUUGCCUGACAUGUACUGUACAGAGGCAGCUCAUGUGUCAUGCUGUAAACAGUGCUGAAGGGGACUGCCUCUCCGUACGUUUCAUUUUUGCUUUCGUUUAGUAUUUUAUGUUAGGUUUGCUUAGAUUAUGAUGGAUUAGGUUUGUACAAGUUAGGUGAGGGUGAGGUUAGGUUAGGUUAGAUAGCUUUGUUUGAUUAAUUUCCUUAACAAUAAACUAUAUAACAUAAUUAUCUGGUAAUUCUGAACACGUCGGACGUAAACAAAUGAA